rnacentral:rRNA from 1 species
AUGAACGCUGGCGGCGUGCCUAAUACAUGCAAGUCGAGCGAACAGACGAGGAGCUUGCUCCUCUGACGUUAGCGGCGGACGGGUGAGUAACACGUGGAUAACCUACCUAUAAGACUGGGAUAACUUCGGGAAACCGGAGCUAAUACCGGAUAAUAUAUUGAACCGCAUGGUUCAAUAGUGAAAGACGGUUUUGCUGUCACUUAUAGAUGGAUCCGCGCCGCAUUAGCUAGUUGGUAAGGUAACGGCUUACCAAGGCAACGAUGCGUAGCCGACCUGAGAGGGUGAUCGGCCACACUGGAACUGAGACACGGUCCAGACUCCUACGGGAGGCAGCAGUAGGGAAUCUUCCGCAAUGGGCGAAAGCCUGACGGAGCAACGCCGCGUGAGUGAUGAAGGUCUUCGGAUCGUAAAACUCUGUUAUUAGGGAAGAACAAAUGUGUAAGUAAAUAUGCACGUCUUGACGGUACCUAAUCAGAAAGCCACGGCUAACUACGUG